GUCAUUUAAAAGUCUCAGGUGAGUUUUACUUUGCUGCUUUCAUCUUGAAAGCCAAAUCUCUAAUUAUGUAUUGCUUGAUAAUGUUUUGUUACACGUCUUAUAAAAUUACAUGGCAACUGAUGUAGCUCUUGUUAACUGACUGCAGGUUGUCAAAACCAAACAUGCAAAACUGACAACUUCUCCUAAUGCUUGUGAUGAGCUCACACUCUGCCUGGCAACAAUGCAAAUGUAUGUAAAUAGCAAGACAUGAAACAUACUUACAACAGA